UACGUAGGGGGCAAGCGUUGUCCGGAUUUAUUGGGCGUAAAGAGCGUGUAGGCGGCCUGGUAGGUCAGCUGUGAAAACUCGAGGCUCAACCUCGAGACGUCGGUUGAAACCACCUGGCUAGAGUCCGGAAGAGGAGAGUGGAAUUCCCGGUGUAGCGGUGAAAUGCGCAGAUAUCGGGAAGAACACCCGUGGCGAAGGCGGCUCUCUGGGACGGUACUGACGCUGAGACGCGAAAGCGUGGGGAGCGAACAGG
rnacentral:rRNA from 1 species